UACAUUUGUAAAAGUUGCCACCUCCAGCGUUGCCAUUCGCCAUUUUCCUUUUUCUAUCGCCGCCUCGCAUUGGAUUGUGGGAAAUAGUGCUUCAGCGAGUGUACAUCGGUUGUACACUCAAAAUCAGAAUGCAUUGUGGGUAAAAAGUAGUGGAUGAAUGUAGGGAAUGAAGUCGUUCACUCAGAAUUUGGACAGCACUACAAAAUGGCUGACACCAGAUAUAGUGCACUAUAAAGUGGAUAGGGAGCGGUUUCAGACACAGCAUAUAACUCUUGAUUGAUGCUUUGUAGACGAACCCACCAUGUUGGAGUCCGUGGACCUCAAAAUGCUGUUGUUGAUGUGCUACAGGUAAAGAUUAGAGUCAAGACCACAGCAAGACCCAGCUUUGUUUGACAUGCGUAUCAAGCAGACGAGCGAUACUUCGCAGCAGAAUCAGCCUGCAGAAGACCAGAAUCCAGUUGUGACCAUCAGCCCUGUACAGACAUCCAGUCAGGUUUUAGCAGAUGUUGAUGGAAAACAAGAUGAUCUGGAUGCACCUGAUGAGUCCUUACAGGUUUUAGCAGAAGUUGAAGACAGACAAGAUGAUCCGGAUGCACCUGAUGGAUCCUUGAAUGGGUCCAGACUGCGACCAAAUGAUCGCAUUUUGCCACCAUUCCUGCCGAUGCGACCAAAUUUUUUCUAAGGUCGCGCUAGCACGACAACAGCUUUUCCCGAUAUCAACAAAAGAAAUUAAAGUGGAACGAAACUGAGUCUUGAGCCGGUUUCAAUCACGGGACAGUGGCUACAGAGGAGCGCUUAUUAGCAACAAGUUGCAAAGGAGUCAGCUACACCUCAUGGUUCAAGCAUCCUACACUAUAAAGUGGAAGUCAAUGUGCAGGUAAAGAUACGGUGCCAUACAAACAUUUAAUUUUCUGUCAUGCUUUCAGGUUUCAGGUUUCAGGUUGCUCCUCCUAGCUCUAAAAUCAAAACAUGGUUUGACCGAUGAAGCACUAGAAGACAUGCUUCAAGUCAUAAAUGCUAUCACCGGUAAACACUCAGUGUCAACUACUAAACAUCACUUCUACAAAAAUAUGACUGAUUAUAAGGACUAUAUUAUUAUCAAGCAAUCUGGAAACUUUUUUAUUGUUCUCCCUCUAGAAGCACAACUACAAAAUAUUAUUGAACAACACAAGUUUUCGCGGUUGUCCAUCAAUAACAAGGAUGACGUAAAUGGUCACUUGGUUGAUGUAUGUGAUGGUGUGCUCUAUAAAAAGACCUUGAAAAUCUUCACAACUUUAAAUGAUUGCCCCAACUUUUCAAUCACCUUGAGUUGUGAUGGUGUACCUUUAUUCAAAUCCUCUUCACAGUCCAUAUGGUCCCUGUUGUGCACUUUAAAUGAACUACCUCCCGAUCUGAGAUCUGACCAUAUUAUGUUAACAGCAUUGUGGUUUGGAGCUAAAAAGCCCCCGAUGAACAUCUAUCUUGACCCAUUUGUGAAUGAGUGCACUGAUCUACAUGAGUGUGGCUUUGAUUGGGUUACAUCUGAUGGUGUACAUGGUACCAGCAAAGUAUAUGCUUUAAUACUUGUAAGCGAUUCUGUUGCCCGUCCACUCCUACAGAACUUCAAGCAGUUCAAUGGGGAGUUUGGAUGUUCUUUUUGUCUUCAGAAGGGAACACUUGUCGAACGUGGUCGGGGAAAGGCCAGGGUUUACCCCUUUGAGGAAAACACAGAACUGAGAUGUCAAAGUCAGACUUUAGAGCUAGUUAGGAGAGCUGUUGAGACAAGCACACCUUCAGCAGGUGUGAAAGGACCUUCGGUGUUGUCCCCUUUACCAGGAUUUGAUAUAAUUGAGGGAUGUGUCCCUGAUUACAUGCACAGUGUCCUCCUAGGAGUUACAAGAUCUAUCACUUCGCUGUGGUGUAACCCUGAAAACUACCAAUCUCCUUGGUACUUAGGCAGGUCCAUACCACAAAUUGACAAACUACUGUUAAAAAUAAAGCCCCCAAGUAAUGUCUCCAGAACACCUCGAUCCAUAAAAGAAAGACGUUACUGGAAAGCCCAUGAAUGGCUGAUGUGGCUACUUUACUACAGUAUCUCCAUUCUUAAGGGGAUUCUACCUGAGAGAUACCCUAAUGGAGGGGAAGCACAGCUUUUCUGCUUGUGUUCAAAAUCCUCUACACUUUCAUCCAGUCAAGAAGGUGCUGUCUCACCUAACUGCUGUACAUGCCUCAGCAAUUGAACACAAAUGUGUGUACAUGCCUUUAGAACAGCACAGAUGUGAUUACAUUAUGACUUUUCUUAACUAUUAUGAAGUAACGGUUUAUUU